rfam:Ajellomyces capsulatus G186AR genomic scaffold supercont2.15, whole genome shotgun sequence.
GGCACAGUGGUAGAGUGGUUAAUACGUGAGACUCGAAUUCGCCAAAUGUGGUUAGUCUGCAUUGGCCAAGCUUAGACCAUCUCAUGCCUUCGGGCGCGUAGGUUCGAAUCCUGCCUGUGUCG